UACGUAGGGUGCGAGCGUUGUCCGGAAUUAUUGGGCGUAAAGAGCUCGUAGGCGGUCUGUCGCGUCGGUCGUGAAAACUUGGGGCUUAACCCUGAGCUUGCGGUCGAUACGGGCAUGACUGGAGUUCGGCAGGGGAGACUGGAAUUCCUGGUGUAGCAGUGAAAUGCGUAGAUAUCAGGAGGAACACCGAUGGCGAAGGCAGGUCUCUGGGCUGACACUGACGCUCAUGCACGAAAGGCGUGGG
rnacentral:rRNA from 1 species